rnacentral:tRNA from 1 species
GGGGUUAUAGCUCAGCUGGGAGAGCGCAACACUGGCAGUGUUGAGGUCAGCGGUUCGAUCCCGCUUAGCUCCA